rnacentral:rRNA from 1 species
AUACGGGGGGUGCAAGCGUUACUCGGAAUCACUGGGCGUAAAGCGCGCGCAGGCGGGCUGAUAAGUUGGAUGUGAAAGCCUACGGCUCAACCGUAGAACUGCAUCCAAAACUGUCAGUCUAGAGUCUGGGAGGGGAAGAUGGAAUUAGUUGUGUAGGGGUAAAAUCCGUAGAGAUAACUAGGAAUACCAAAAGCGAAGGCGAUCUUCUGGAACAGUACUGACGCUGAGGCGCGAAAGCGUGGGGAGCAAACAGGAUUAGAUACCCUAGUAGUCC